GUGGGGAAUCUUGCGCAAUGGGCGAAAGCCUGACGCAGCCAUGCCGCGUGAAUGAUGAAGGUCUUAGGAUUGUAAAAUUCUUUCACCGGGGACGAUAAUGACGGUACCCGGAGAAGAAGCUCCGGCUAACUUCGUGCCAGCACCCGCGGUAAUACGAAGGGGGCUAGCGUUGCUCGGAAUUACUGGGCGUAAAGGGCGCGUAGGCGGACAGCUUAGUCAGAGGUGAAAGCCCAGGGCUCAACCUUGGAAUUGCCUUUGAUACUGGCUGUCUUGAGUUUGGGAGAGGUGAGUGGAACUCCGAGUGUAGAGGUGAAAUUCGUAGAUAUUCGGAAGAACACCAGUGGCGAAGGCGACUCACUGGCCCAAUACUGACGCUGAGGCGCGAAAGCGUGGGGAGCAAACAGGAUUAGAUACCCCGGUAGUCC
rnacentral:rRNA from 1 species